ensembl:lncRNA
GGGCUCAGUUGGGGGUCAGGUGGGGUCGGUUGGGGGGCUGAAUUGGGGUCAGGUGAGGUCAGUUGGGGGGCUGAGUUGGGGGUCAGGUGGGGUCGGUUGGGGUCAGUUGGGGGGCUGAGUUGGGGGUCAGGUGGGGUCGGUUGGGGGGCUCAGUUGGGGUCGGUUGGGGGGCAGAUCAGUGGGGCGGGCUGAGCUGGGAAUGGAUCGGACCGGACUGGAUCAGGUGGGAACAGACUGGACCGGACCGGAUCCGAUUGGAUCAGACCGGAUCGGAUCAGAUGGGAUCGGACUGGGUCGGAUCGGACCGGACUGGGUCAGGUGGGAACAGACUGGACCGGACCGGAUCCAAUUGGAUCGGACCGGAUCGGAUCAGAUGGGAUCGGACUGGAUCGGAUUGGAUCGGACCGGAUCGGAU